ACGUCAUCCCCACCUUCCUCCGGUUUGUCACCGGCAGUCUCGUUAAAGUGCCCAACUAAAUGAUGGCAAUUAACGACAAGGGUUGCGCUCGUUGCGGGACUUAACCCAACAUCUCACGACACGAGCUGACGACAGCCAUGCAGCACCUGUGUUAGCGUUCCCUUUCGGGCACCCUCACAUCUCUGCGAGGUUCGCUACAAGUCAAGGGUAGGUAAGGUUUUUCGCGUUGCAUCGAAUUAAUCCACAUAAUCCACCGCUUGUGCGGGUCCCCGUCAAUUCCUUUGAGUUUUAACCUUGCGGCCGUACUCCCCAGGCGGUCAACUUCACGCGUUAGCUUCGUUACCAAGGGAAUCAAUCCCCCGACAACCAGUUGACAUAGUUUAGGGCGUGGACUACCAGG
rnacentral:misc_RNA from 1 species